UGCAACACAGGAAGAGGUUGGCUGGCUAGA
rnacentral:piRNA from 1 species